GGCAAUAUAGUCCAGUGGUAGGACACUUGCCUGACAUAUAAGAGGAGUUGGAUUCAAUUCCUAGUACUGCAA
rnacentral:tRNA from 1 species